rnacentral:sRNA from 1 species
UUUGCGAAAGGUCCUCGAGCUCCCAGUGCUCGCUCUCGUCUUACCUUGCACCACCUUCGACAUAAACUUACUCCACUAGUAUAUAAGCUUGCCUGAUCUUCCCAAGCGAAUAUACCUCUGUCCUAUACCAUACGCCAACAGACAAGUGUCAAGAGGUAUAUCAUACAUAUAUCUCAUUGCUUAGUUAAACUACGGCUUUCUAUCUCGUCUCCAAGGCCGGACCUUGUUGGGGACGAGUCGUAACAGCUCGCUACUACAAGCUAAAUGAUAUAAUCCAUCCACCUCGCUAAUCUGUAAGCACACCAUCGAUGACUUGAUCUGACAUCAUGGCCUCUUUUCUAUAUUACCCAAUCUCCACUUCGCUACCAUCCUCUCAACAGAGAAGAACAUGAGAGACAGAAGGAACAGUUAAACUGGGGUGGUAGAGAUUAGAUUAGAAUAGCUGAGGAGAAGAGGAAGAAGAGAGGAAGAGAGAUGGUGAGAGGAAACCAGAUCAGAAGAGGCCCUCUGCAGGAGAUCAAAGUUGGAGGAAGGAAGAGGAAAAGGGUGCUCGAGGGGAGAAAAGGAUUGGUCAGCUAUGCACUUAGGAAAAGAUAUAUAAAGAGCUCUUGGCAUAGAUGAAAUGAAAGACAGCUUUCAUAUCUUUU